UACGGAGGGGACUAGCGUUGUUCGGAAUUACUGGGCGUAAAGCGCACGUAGGCGGAUUUGUAAGUCAGGGGUGAAAUCCCGGGGCUCAACCUUGGAACUGCCUUUGAUACUGCAAAUCUCGAGUCCGGAAGAGGUGAGUGGAAUUCCUAGUGUAGAGGUGAAAUUCGUAGAUAUUAGGAAGAACACCAGUGGCGAAGGCGGCUCACUGGUCCGGUACUGACGCUGAGGUGCGAAAGCGUGGGGAGCAAACAGG
rnacentral:rRNA from 1 species